GUUAAGGAAGCACACAUCAGUAGCAUAGACUGUAAAGCAGAGGAUAGCAGCAGCUCCAGCUUACAAUUAAAGGUUGAUGACAUGGCAUGCCAGCUGGCACCUGGUGGUUAUGUAGUUACUUGUUCACGUGAUAAUUAGUUGAAGUUGUUAUAGCUAGCUAGAAUUAGUUUUGUAAUUAGUUAACUAAUUGAGCUGAGCAUCAGCUGUGUAUAUAAGC
rnacentral:lncRNA from 1 species